CCGACAGUUAAAGUAAAAUAAUGGAGCUAGAAGGUCUAUCACAAUAUUACCAAAUUCUGGACUUUUAACUGAACCAUUCCCAAUCAUAUUCCAGGAUUUCAUUACGUCCCGGACUUUAAUCAGAAUCUCUCCAACCUCCAAAACCUCAACUUACAGAUGAGAGUAAUCAAGACUAAACUGAAGCUUUAGUGAGGAAUUGGGAAUACACCACGUGCAAGCUGGACCACGGACUCGAACCGGG
rnacentral:lncRNA from 1 species